GUUGCGGACAGUGUCUGGUGGGUAGUUUGACUGGGGCGGUCUCCUCCUAAAGAGUAACGGAGGAGCACGAAGGUUGGCUAAUCCUGGUCGGACAUCAGGAGGUUAGUGCAAUGGCAUAAGCCAGCUUGACUGCGAGCGUGACGGCGCGAGCAGGUGCGAAAGCAGGUCAUAGUGAUCCGGUGGUUCUGAAUGGAAGGGCCAUCGCUCAACGGAUAAAAGGUACUCCGGGGAUAACAGGCUGAUACCGCCCAAGAGUUCAUAUCGACGGCGGUGUUUGGCACCUCGAUGUCGGCUCAUCACAUCCUGGGGCUGAAGUAGGUCCCAAGGGUAUGGCUGUUCGCCAUUUAAAGUGGUACGCGAGCUGGGUUUAGAACGUCGUGAGACAGUUCGGUCCCUAUCUGCCGUGGGCGCUGGAGAACUGAGGGGGGCUGCUCCUAGUACGAGAGGACCGGAGUGGACGCAUCACUGGUGUUCGGGUUGUCAUGCCAAUGGCACU
rnacentral:rRNA from 2 species